GAUUUCAAAACACGAAACACGAAACUGGUACAUACAUGAAGAUAUGUUGGAGGUCUUGCUUGCUUCCCUAAGCUAGCAGUGAUCCACGUACACGAAAACCUGUACCAGAUCUUAGCGCAGAUGUCAGAUACUAACCAGCUUUACAUACCUGUAGCAGAUUGCGGUGCUUCACAUCAAAUUCCCAAUCUUAGUGUACGCACAUCCAGGAUCGAGGUGGUGAACGCUAGAAUGCCUGAAUGCCAAUCAAGCUCGGCCUGUUCCUCCUCAGAGGAGGUGACAU
rnacentral:lncRNA from 1 species